CAGAAGCACAGUUUGUGACUGGUCGGGUUUCUAGUUUUCCAACUUGAUGAGAUCUCCCAGCUGGAACAAGGGGAAGAACCAUGGGUACCAGACCUCCAGGGUUCAGAGGAAAGAUUGAUCCUGAGAACUCCCUGCACAGGUGAGGAAACAUUCAACCAACUCAGAAUCUUAGGUGAAUCAAUGGCAUGUGAGAAAGAGGAGCAGAAUUCUCAGCAGGAAAAUGUUGAGCAAGUGAGUAAAAACAGAGCAUUAUCGCAAAGAUCGAAAAGGAAUGUGUCCUGGAGUCAUGAACAGGGAAAAUCCUGGGAGAUUCAACAGAGACCAGAAACAGAGCAAGGAAACCAGCCAGAGGAGAAAGUGGAUACAUUUAUUUCCUGUUGGGGAACUCAGAAGAUCCUCCUGGAAACCACAACACAGCAAGAUAUUCUCAGGCGAAAGAGAAAAAAUAUAUGCAGUGAGUGUGGGAAAACCUUCAAUCGCAGCUCAAACCUUAUUACCCAUCAGAGAAUCCACACACGGGAGAGGCCCUAUGAAUGCCAUGAGUGCUGGAAAACUUCUUGGCACUCAGCCCAUGUUAGACAUAAGAGAAUCUGCAAAGGAGAUCAACAUUGUAAAAAUCUCUAGGGCUAUCAAUACUUUACUUUUCCUGAUUCCCACAUAGUAACUUUUGAAGCUCUUUGAAUUGUUUGUAGCACUGUUAUCCCUCAGCUUGUCCAGAUGAGUGGCCCAUUUUUGCCUUUUGCAGUUCACUCUCUUUUGAGAUGGACCUAUUUGUCCUUUCUAUUGUCCCACAAGUAAUUCGAGUGUGCCCUUCCUAUCAGGAACCAGAGAGCAUCACAUUUAUACCAUUCCUUCUAUUGCAAAAUUAUUGUUAGUCACCAAUGAUACAGAUUGUAUCAUUGCCAUUUGUUCUCACGUUGCUCUGGGUUGUGCUGAAGAGCUGAUAUAUUGGAAACUUUUCAAAUGUUAUAUGUAAAUGAAGAGGAGCGGGGAAAAAAGUGUCAUUUCAGCCUUUGUGACACCGGAAGGAUACGUGGUGACACAGAGAUUCCCUCCUUCCCCAUCACCGCAGAACUUUUACCUUUUGUCUGAGCCAUGCAGAGUUUAUCUUCAUCACAUUCUCUCCAUCCACUUCUCAGAAUGUCAUGUGAUGAAGCAUUCUCCAUUGUCUGUGCUUGAAGAUGAUUUUUUGACUUCUUUAAUCCUAUAUCAGAGUCACUAUGACUGGAGAUGAAAGUGUCAAAGUUCUGGGAGGAGAAUUCAAAUGGAUCCCAAAUACAGUAUUGUUAUUGGAGUUUAAAUCCCAGGUUCCAUCUAUUGUAAAGCCACUUUUGGCAAGGUGGCUGUUUUUCCCUCAUUAUGGGACUGCUAGGAUACUAAAAAUGUUGUAAAUAACAUAACUGACUAUUGAGACAGGGACGAGUGAAGCAGGUUUGAAUAGAUCAGAGGAGAAUGUGAUGGGAGAAUCUCUUGUCCUGAUUCUGAAUAAUCAGAUGUAACCUGCUCUGGAAUUUCACUUGACACUUCCUUUGUAAUGUAUUCUCUUUCUGUGAUGUGGGUUUCUAUCUUUCCUGAAGGCUGUUUGGUCACCCGAUUAGAUAUUAGUUCAGUUUGAUAGGAUAUAGCUCAGAUUUAUUGGAGAAUUUAAGACAAUGACCCUUUGCUUAAGUCCUCAUUUAUUAUUUCAGCUUUGCUCUUUCUCCAUCCCUCCAUGAUGACAUGGAGAAAGUUGAAGUGUAGUUCUGUCAACAGGAGCAAACUCUCCAAUUUACUGCAUAUGCUAACAAAGAAACAGCAGUGAUUUAAAAUCUCCACUCAGAAAUGGUGAACAGCAGCAGAACAGUGCAUAUGAUCACAGUGUAUUUUAAGUUGUUUAAGUCAGUAUUGUCACAGAUGAUCUGGGGAGAGAAUUCCAUGGUAAGUGAUUCUGAACUAGGCAAAAUGCCCAUGUGUUUGGUUCCCAAAGCCUUUGUAACCCAGGUCCUACAGAAGAUCUCUCCUAGCUAAUCCUAUGGUAUGGGAAAUGCAGUCCUUCAUGACACACAUGUGGAGGAAAUAGAAGUGGCGUUUUUGUUGAAUUUAUCUUUUGUAGGUGCUAAAGAUGUGUGUAAAAUGAAACCAGUGUUGAAAAUAUAAUAUCUUUGGGAAAAUAGCCAUUUUUUAAUAGAAUCUCCAACUCUGGUAACUAACGAAGAUUCUGAUCCAGGCCUGUAUCCAGUCCAUUGCCUGGACCUGUGCCACCGAAUUAAAGAAAAGCUGGGCAUGUUUCAGGAAGCCAUUCCUCAUUAACACUGCUGAGAUUUUAAGUGGCUUUGUAAAGGAUUCUACUUCAGAGAAGUGUAAAUUUACCCUAUCCAAGACCAAGGAUUUGGAAAGAGCUGAGGUUGAAGGAGUCCACACCCAGUUCUUGGUUUCCACCCCAGUAAAGGAAGCUAUGGUGACCAGUGACCCAAGGAAAAUUGUUUUUACAACUCCAUUUCCUAGUUCAGUGUCACUGAUGACAGUUCCAAAGGAUGCCAGGUUACAUUGGAUCCAAAUGGGGAAGGAUGAUUGUUCUCAAAGAGAGAGUGCUUGAUAGGACAGUCCUUCCUCAUGGAUCCCAAACUGGCUGCCUGAUUGGGUAACAAGGACUUUCAGGCUGUAGAAAUGAUGGUAACCAAUGAAGCAACAAAUUUGUCAUCCUCCAAUUUCAGACUUCUGGAUACUCGCAUGUUGAGUCCUGAUUCUAUAGUUUUGUGUCUGACGCUAUGGCUACACAAUAAAGCUGAUGUUGGCACAGCUGCACCAAUGUAGCUGCGCUGCUGUAGCACUGCUAUUAUAGACACUCUAAGGCAAUGGGAGAGAUUUCUCCCAUUGGACUUGAUUAGUCCAGCCCCUGCAAGUGGCAGUGGCUUUGUUGGCAGGAGAAACUCCCCCGCUCAUGUAUCGCUAUCUACGCAGGGGCUUAGGGCUGUGUAACUACAUUGCUCACCAGUGUGGCUUUUUCACACCCCUAAGCAAUAUAGUUAUCCCAAUAAAUAUCUUUAGUGUAGACCAGACCUUAGUUUUCUCUUGUGUUUUAUGCAUUUAUAUUACUUCUCUACCUCCUCCUACUUUGAAAAAUUAAAAAGUGUGACGAGAGGUAUUUUUCUCCAUAUUGCAAACAUUCCCACAUAGGAGACCCUUUCCACCAACACACAUGGCAGAAGAUUCUGAGAUAUAUGAACUCAUAGAAGUGGUUGGGACCUACGCUGGGACAAACCACAACUUGAGCCAAGGUUCAGUUGUUGGCAAUAGGGAUUAAAAGAAAACUAACAUAGACAACAAGAAUUCGUGAUCUUUGAAUAUGUUAUUGGUACCAAUGAAAAUGAAAUUAUAGGGGAAGUUAUUGGUUAAAAAGUAAGAGACUGUGUGAUAAUCUGAAUUAUUUUGGAAAACUGAAAGUUGUCUUAUUUUUUGUUUUGUUAAUCAUACUGGAAAUGAUGGCUAAUCUUAAAUGUUAAUUUAAUUUAAUUUACCGCCUGUAGUGUAAGGAGUUCUGCUAGAAAACCUCACUCCAGUGGUUGAGGUGGGAGAAUGUGUGUGAGAGAGUGUAUAAGAGAAUAUUGUCCCAGUAUAGAUUUUAAUAUUUUUGUUUUCAAAUAGAACUUAUUUUGCUUAGUUUCAAAGUCAAUUUCUAGUAAAAGGAAAGCUACUCGAGGAGAUAAAUUGUAAAAGUUUUUACCCACUUAGACUGUAAGGGUCACUGUCUUCCCCACUUCUCUAAUUUGCAAAGGAAAGGUAUGACAUCUCAUAGGAUGUAUCCAGCAGGUAGGAAAGCUACAAUUGUCAACCAUCAAUAUAAAGCAAAAGGCUGAAAUCUAUUGCCUUUCAAGUCAAUAAGCCAGCUAAAGGCUGGUCUAUGCUGAAAAGCUGUGUUGGCAGAGCUACAUCUCUCAGGGGUGUGAAAAGUCCUCUCCACUGAGAGAAGUAGUUAAUGUGACCUGAGCCCCAGUGUAGACAGUGUUAGGUUGUCAGAAGACUAUUUCCAGUGUUCGAAGUGUAGACAGAGCCUUAGACAGAUUGAUCCCCUCUGGGAAGCGAGCCAUGACAUCAAUUUCAAUUUUGACCCAUCUCCCUGUAUGUGAGAAAGUUACUAGUAUGGAGGGCUGAGCCAGCUGUCCGAUCGCCUGGUUCCUCAACUGUAGCUACAGCUCUUAGUGCCCAUCAAUCCAAAGACUGA